rnacentral:rRNA from 1 species
AUGACAUGCUUGAGCUGGAACUGCCGGGGGCUUGGGAACCCCGAGGCAGUUCGCGAGCUUCGAAGUAUAGUGAAGCUAGAAGGACCCACUCUUCUCUUUGUGAUAGAAACGAAAAUUCAAGCUAAAAGAAUUAGGGCUUUGAAGUUUACCCUCGGUUUUGGAGGGUGUUUUGCAGUCGACAGUGUCGGCCUAGGUGGUGGCAUUGGUCUGUUUUGGUCACGUGAUGUGACUGUUGAGUUGAAAAAUUUCAGCAAGUGUCACAUUGAUGUGGUGGUUCAUAGUAACAAUCAGAGUGCUUCGGUAUGGAGGUUUAUUGGUUUUUACGGGGCGCCGAGAGCUUCAGAUCGUGGUGAAAGCUGGCAGCUCCUGCGCACUCUCUUUGCUAUACCCCAUGUAGCAUGGCUGUGUAUGGGGGAUUUUAAUGAAACUCUCUAUGCAUCCGAACACUUUAGCAGAAGAGCAAGAUCGGAAACACACAUGCGAGCGUUUCGGACUGUUAUGGAUGAGGUUUCCAUGCAAGCUUUAGGCUGGUCGGGUACACCAUAUACGUGGGACAACCAGCAAGCAGGUGCAGCAAAUGUAAAGGCACGCCUAGACCGAGCUUUUGGGAAUGAAGAUUUUCAACAACUUUUUCAACAUAUACGGUCAGACAUCUCCCCUCUGUUGAGUCUGAUCACUGUUUUGUCGUAG